rnacentral:rRNA from 1 species
AGCCUACGGGGCGCAGCAGUGGGGAAUAUUGCACAAUGGGGGAAACCCUGAUGCAGCGACGCCGCGUGAGUGAAGAAGUAUUUCGGUAUGUAAAGCUCUAUCAGCAGGGAGGAUAAUGACGGUACCUGACUAAGAAGCCCCGGCUAACUACGUGCCAGCAGCCGCGGUAAUACGUAGGGGGCAAGCGUUAUCCGGAUUUACUGGGUGUAAAGGGAGCGUAGGCGGCGAUGCAAGUCAGAAGUGAAAGCCCGGGGCUCAACUCCGGGACUGCUUUUGAAACUGUAUGGCUAGAUUGCAGGAGAGGC